UCACACUUUCAUGCUGCAUGAAAUUAAAGUAUGAACUUUCCUCAACCCAUUACGUGUGCAUGAACUCAACAAAUGCCGUUGAUGCGUCUGUAUCGAUUCGCUCGAUCGAGUCAUUUAUGUUUCGUCCCGAAAAAGAUCCGAAUCGUUUGUGAAUCGCAUCACUGUUAGAAAUCCAAGAGAAGAGAUCCUCUUCCCUUAACAUCAUCAGAGGAAAAAUCUGCUUCUUAAUCAAUUAGUUUCAGCGUUUGUACCUCUCUCUCUGGAUCCAUGUCAUCCUACAGUCUCUUCUCGAGCAAGGCGUGGUGAGACACUUUACACAAGAUUUACGUAAGAUUAAUGAAUUGAUUGUUUCUUCUGUAAUAUCACAGGUUCCUGCCAUUAAUGAUCUCUGUUCUGCCUUUUCUUCCACGCACAUGAGGAGAUAGCGUUUGGACUCAAGGUUUCAUUUGACUCUCCUGCUGGUUUUUUUUUUCAGCUGUAAUUCAUAACGUGCUCUGUGACCUUCUCCCUCCCUCAGGACUCUGUGGUCUGUGUGUUCUGGUGUCUGCUGAGUCACCAGAAAUCUGCCAAGACACUGACACUUGCGCCUGCUCCAACAUCUGGCGCAUAAGGGCUUUAAGGUUUCCAGAACCAAGCUGCAAUAUUGUAUGGACACUUAAGUAUUUGAACUUUUGAAGUUUUGAACUUUCUCAAGGCUGUCAUUCUAGACACAAAACCUCCUCCACUGCAACAUCCUUUGACCUGGACUGACGCUAUGGUGGUCGCUUAUCACUCCCUCAGAAGCACCCUUUGUUCCGCCCCUGGGUCACCUGCUCACUUCAAGCCCUUCCACCUCUAUGCCUGUGGACACCGGGGCACAGCCUCUGGGGAGCGUGGGGGGGGGGGAAUGCAUCAUUGUGCGUUUUUAUCCAAAACAUUAGACAUUGUUGCUCAAGGCUUACCUGUGUGUCUGGGGGCUGUCUCCGCAUGUGCUUUGAUGGUUUUAGAUGCGGAAAAAUUGGUUUUUGUCUCACCCAUUGAUCUUGCACUCGUCACAUCAAGUUAAACAGGUGUUGCAAAAUUUACAGACCGAUUAAAUUAAUUUAUCAGUAAUAGGGGUCUCUAGGGAUCUUUGUUGAUGGUUCUUGUUCUAAACCCUCAGACGGUUCUUGUUUUAUAAUUUAUAAUAUUAUCACACCUCUGUGGUUAUUCUGUGUGUUCAGUCAAUAUCAGCCUGAUAUUCUGCAUGAGACAUACGCUUUUUUUUCUUUUUCAUUUGAUUUUUGUCAUCUUGAUUGUGGACAAAUUCUCUAAAUGGGUAGAAGUUUUUCCCUGUUCUCGAGAGAACACGAAGGUAGUUACUCGUUUUGAUACCUACGGUAGUUAUAAUAAUAAUAAUAAUAAUAAUAAUGAUACAUUUUAUUUAUAAGUGCCUUUCAAGGUACCUAAGAACACUGGACAGUAAAAAAGAAAAACAAACAAUAAAAUAACAACAAUAAAAUAAUAAGAAAUCAAUAAUAAUUAUUGUUAUAGUUAUGGGGUUUCAAAUGCCAUAGAUUCCGACAAAGGUACCCCUUUCACCUCAAAAGUCACACAAAACCUUUGUAAGUAUCUCUAAACUAAACUGGUGUUUUCACAUUCCUCAAUCCUCUGGUAUCGUAGAACGUACUAAUCGAACAUUGAAAGACAAAUUAAUUAAGGUCAUGCAGGACACAGGUUUGCUUCUGUAAUCCAUAAUUCAUUCUGGCUGAAAUUCGUGUGGCACCAAGAAAUUAUUUUUGGAAAUAAAGACUUCCCCUGGAAGAAGGGAACUCCGGCUCCGGGUACCUCUGAUUUGAAGAUGCAUAUGGAUGAGUAUUCUGCAGCCCUUAUAGAUAAGUUGCAUAAAAUUUGUACCAAGGUCAAUAAUACAAUAUUAUCUCCACCACACACCCCUUUCACGUGGGAGACAGGUGCUGGUGUGAUGACUUUUUAAAGUAAUGAUUUGGACAAUUGGGAAAACAAUAUAAUGGGCCUGCAGACAUAGUCACCAUUACUUUUGCUGCUGUUUUAACUGAUCUUUUUCCACAGUGGAUCCAUGCCACUCGAUUGAAGAAGGCUCCAUAACAAAGUUGUGUUACAAUAACAAGUUUGCUGCUAUUAACACUUUUUGUGUCCCUAUCUAGUCUCCCUCUGGCCAGUUUUCUCUCUCUGUCUCUCUCUCUCUCUUUCUGAGCUCUGCACAGAUUUGACUGAGAAUCCUCAAGACGUUGUGAACAAAGAGGGGAAGAGAUCUUGUGCCCCGUUUGGAACCAAUCAUCCUCACUACAACCAUGACAGUCCUCAUCACGGGUUUCGUGGCUUCAUUGUUGCUCGGGGCAGGGCUACCCGCCCGAGCCUUCGUGACUGCUUCAUCUUUGCUCGGGGCAGGGUUACCCGCCCGAGCCUUCUGGACCACUUCAUUGCUCGGAGCAGGGUUACCCGCUCGAGCUGGACUUCGAGACAACAUCUUCUGGACUAACUUCGCUAACUGGACUGCACAAGCGCACACCACACGAAUGUGUUAUGUCUUUCAUCUGAUGCCGUUUUCUACUAUUAUUACACAUCUCUAUGCUCUGAAACUCUGUAUUCUUACAGGACUCUGUUCUCACUAUAGGUCGAUAUGCCUUCUAAUUUCAUUUUUCCCCUCACUGUUUUAGAACAAAUUACUCUGAAGGAAGUAGCGUGUAUCUGGGAAUUAAGAGGUUUUGAGUUUCUCUAAGCUCCGGUGAGGUGGGACGAGGGCUGAUUGGGCAUGCCCGCCCUCUGAGCACCAAUAUACGUCAAGAAGGGCAAAGAUUAACUCAGGAUUAAUUCUCGAUGUAAUCACAUAUAUGAUCAUGAGGUGAUAAUAGGAUUUGAUAAUAGUGAUACUAUUAUCAAAGGGGGGAUUGUUAGGGUUAUAUAAGUAUUAUUCUUAUUAUUCUUAUAAGUAUUAUUAUUAAAAUGGUGACAAAAUUAAGAGUUAACUUAAGGUUCAGUUAAAAAUGACCUUCUGUCUCGGCUGGACAUUGUUUGGGAACAUUUUGUUUAUGAAAUGUGUAUUUUGAACAGAGAAGUGUCUGAAGGACCCACCAAGGUCUGUUUUAGUGUCAGAUCGACCCACACACACACUUUAAUGUUGGAUGUAAUGGUAGCCUUAUUGCUGAACAAAGAGUUAAGACUCUUGUAUUAUAUUUUUAUAGUAUAUAUUAUAGUAUAUAUUACUUAUAGUAUAUUUUAGAGCUUUUUAAGAUCCUUUAUUAUUUUGGACUAUUGCAUAUACUAUGGCAGUGAUUUUAAACUGUUCCUGUGUAGCCUGACCUUCGUCCAGUGGAGAAGAACACUUCUUUGUUAGACCAAACAUAGUCUUUGUUUAAAACAUUGUCGUAAAAACAUCUCACGCGCUUUGACGUACGUAAAUGAAAUUGCUGAAUUGCUGAAAUAUUAUUUUGCUUAUGAUUGAAGGUUUCAUUCACACACACAUACAUAUGGAAUUAAGAUGUGAUUUGCUGACCUAGCACAUAGACACAGAUAUCAAAAUGAUGUCACUCACUCACACCCUCCCAUAGACACACACACACACACACACACACACACACCCCUCUCUGAGGUCACAUACAAACACACACAUUUGACAGACACAAUAGCCGUUUGGAGAGAUUAUGAUUUGUUAUAAAAGGUGUUUGUAAUCUUUCAUCUUUGACGAAGUGACUGUGCGAAUAAACUGGCAUGUGAACUCUCUGGUU